CACUCUAUAAUUAUAUAUGAAGUCGACUACUCCUUCUUGUGGGAAAUCGACUACUAGUGAUACAUGUUCUGAUUAAAUACCUUAUCUUCACAAACACAACCCUGAAGGAUCGAAACCCUUUUGGGUUCCGAAAUAGGUAAGAACCCCAAACGAGUGAAGUCGAUGAUUUCCUCUCGAAAUCAAAGCUUCACAUCCCCUCCCGAAAGAUCUUUACAAAACCCUAAAAUAGAACUUGGUUAUGGAGACUUCGUCUUCGACUUCUCUGAAAGUCGUUUUCGUAUCUCGAGCUAGUAAGCUAGGUCCUUAAUCAUGUAUCACUUAAUGAUCUUUAAUCUAUUGAGGUCAUAACGAUAAAAUAGAUUUAAAACUAUAGUAUCACUUUAACCAUCGCUUAGACAUGUAGG
rnacentral:lncRNA from 1 species